CCUACGGGAGGCAGCAGUGAGGAAUAUUGGUCAAUGGACGCAAGUCUGAACCAUCCACGCCGCGUGCAUGAAGACGGCUCUAUGAGUUGUAAACUGCUUUUUUACGAGGGUAAACGCAGAAACGCGUAUCUGUCUGAAAGUAUCGUACGAAUAAGCAUCGGCUAACUCCGUGCCAGCAGCCGCGGUAAUACGGAGGAUUCAAGCGUUAUCCGGAUUGAUUGGGUUUAAAGGGUGGGUAGGCGGUUGGGUAAGUUAGAGGUGAAAGCCCGAGGCUCAACGUAGGAAUUGCCUUUGAUACUGUUCGACUAGAGUGUAGGAGCGGAAGGCGGAAUGUAUGGUGUAGCGGUGAAAUGCUUAGAGAUCA
rnacentral:rRNA from 1 species